UUCGUAGGUGGUUCGUUACGUCGGAUGUGAAAAUCUGGGGGCUCAACCCCCAGACCUGCAUUCGAUACGGGCGAGCUAGAGUUUGGUAGGGGAGACUGGAAUUCCUGGUGUAGCGGUGGAAUGCGCAGAUAUCAGGAGGAACACCAAUGGCGAAGGCAGGUCUCUGGGCCAAUACUGACACUGAGGAACGAAAGCGUGGGGAGCGAACA
rnacentral:rRNA from 1 species